CUGACGCCUGCUUGAACGGGUAAGAAAGCACUCCUCUGUUUUCAUUAGUCUUCAGAGCUGUUCGCUUGCUUGAAGUCUUUGGCAACGGUUUGGGAUUAGUUGGCUGCUGAACUUCAUUGUGCUCCUAUAUUCAGGCAAUUUGCUGCUUCUGUGUCGUCAAGUUGUGCCUAAUUGGACAAUCUGCCAUCCCCAUCGCCCGCGCUCUCACUCGCUGUUCCUUUUUCCUAUGCAUAUACCUCUUUGACGUGCGGCUUUAAAGAGGCAUAAGGCAUGGGAAAAGGGGGCUGUUGAGGUAUUCCACUCACUCCACUGCAGUCAGAUCUGCCCACCGCACCCAACGCGACCCAGGACCAAGCCGAUGACUUCAUUUUGACGGUUUCACUGUACCCUUUACCAUUCUGUUGUGGUAUUGUUGUAUUUUCUGCGUGUGUGUGUGUGUGCUUGUGUGUGAGAGAGAGGGGUGUGUGCAUGUGUGUGUGUGUGUGUGAGAGGGAGAGAGAGAGAGAGAGAGAGAGAGAGAGAGAGAGAGAGAGAGAGAGAGAGAGAGAGAGAGAGAGAGAGAGAGAAAGAAAGAGAGAGAGAGUAAAUAUUCUGCCUUCAAUGAUUUUUACUAUCUUGACGACGUUCACUGUACUGUUAAGGGACUGAAACGAUACCAGAUGGCCAACAAUAAGGGAUAAGCUGAUUAUGUGUAUCUGUCUUGUUUUAAUAAUAAAGUAAACUUUUUAAAUUA